rnacentral:rRNA from 1 species
UGAUGAAGGCCUUAGGGUUGUAAAGCUCUUUCAGCGGGGAAGAUAAUGACGGUACCCGCAGAAGAAGCCCCGGCUAACUUCGUGC